rnacentral:rRNA from 1 species
CCUACGGGUGGCUGCAGUGGGGAAUAUUGCGCAAUGGGGGCAACCCUGACGCAGCCAUGCCGCGUGAAUGAAGAAGGCCUUCAGGUUGUAAAGUUCUUUCGGUAGCGAGGAAGGCAUUUAGUUUAAUAAACUAGGUGAUUGACGUUAACUACAGAAGAAGCACCGGCUAACUCCGUGCCAGCAGCCGCGGUAAUACGGAGGGUGCGAGCGUUAAUCGGAAUAACUGGGCGUAAAGGGCACGCAGGCGGUGACUUAAGUGAGGUGUGAAAGCCCCGGGCUUAACCUGGGAAUUGCAUUUCAUACUGGGUCGCUAGAGUACUUUAGGGAGGGGUAGAAUUCCACGUGUAGCGGUGAAAUGCGUAGAGAUGUGGAGGAAUACCGAAGGCGAAGGCAGCCCCUUGGGAAUGUACUGACGCUCAUGUGCGAAAGCGUGGGGAGCAAACAGGAUUAGAUACCCCUGUAGUC